rnacentral:lncRNA from 1 species
CUGACCUUAGGUGAUCCACCCACCUCGGCCUCCCAAAGUGCUGGAAUUACAGGCGUGAGCCACUGCACCUGGCCUCAAUGUCGUCGUCUUCUCCUUUUCCUUCUCCUUCUUCUUCAUUUUUUCUUUUUUUUUUUCUUUUUUCUAGAUACAGAGUCUCGCUCGAUCACCCAGGCUGGAGUGGAGUGGCGCCAUCUUGGCUCACUGCAAGCUCCGCCUCCCGCGUUCUCGCCAUUUUCCUGCCUCAGUCUCCGGAGUAGCUGGGACUACAGGCGCCCGCCACCACGCCUGGCUAAUUUUUUUGUUUUUUUAGUAGAAACGGGGUUUCACCGUGUUAGCCAGAAUGGUCUCGAUCUCCUGACCUCGUGAUCCACCUCAGCUUCCCAAAGUGCUGGGAUUACAGGCAUGAGCCACCGAAACCGGAUGAUGCCUCCUUCUUAAUUUCCAGUCUUGUUGGCUAAUAUCAGGGACAUAGAUGAAGCUGGGAGCCAUCAUACUCAGCAAACUAACACAGGAAUAGAAAACCAAACACCGCGUGUUCUCACUCAUAAGUGGGAGUUGAACAAUGAGAACA